rnacentral:rRNA from 1 species
UACGUAGGGUGCGAGCGUUGUCCGGAAUCACUGGGCUUAAAGCGUGUGUAGGCGGAUCGUUAAGUGUCUUGUGAAAUCCCACGGCUCACCCGUGGAACGGCUGGGCAUACUGGCGAUCUUGGGCCAACUAGGGGCAACUGGAACAAGCGGUGGAGCGGUGAAAUGCGUAGAUAUCGCUUGGAACGCCAAAGGUGAAAACAGGUUGCUGGGGUUGUGCCGACGCUGAGACACGAAAGCCAGGGGAGCAAACGGG